AUUCAAAUUCUCUUUCACUUCAAUAUCACCAUUCUUGCCUUCAAUUGCUUCGAUCUUCUUCUUCUACGGUUAUGGGAUCUCCAGCUUGAAGUAGUUGGAGCUGCUUAA